GCGCAACCCCUCGCAUUCAGUUGCCAUCGGGUGGAAGCCGGGCACUCUGGAAGGACUGCCAUCGACAAGAUGGAGGAAGGUGGGGACGGACGUCAAGUCAUCAUGGCCCUUAUGUCCAGGGCGACACACGUGCUACAAUGGCCGGCACAACGGGAAGCGAGUUCGCGAGGACGAGCGGAUCCCUUAAAGCCGGUCGCAGUUCGGAUUGAAGUCUGCAACUCGACUUCAUGAAGCUGGAAUCGCUAGUAAUCGCAGAUCAGCCAAGCUGCGGUGAAUACGUUCCCGGGCCUU
rnacentral:rRNA from 1 species